GCUAGGCUAGCACAGUCGGUAAAGUAUGAGACUCUCAAUCUCAGGGUUGUGGGUUAGAGCCCCAAGUUGGGCG
rfam:Danio rerio chromosome 4, GRCz11 reference primary assembly.